rnacentral:rRNA from 1 species
ACUCAAAUGAAUUGACGGGGACCCGCACAAGCGGUGGAGCAUGUGGAUUAAUUCGAUACUAACCGAAGAACCUUACCCAGGUUUGACAUCGAGGGUAAGCCUAUGAAAGUAGGCCCUCUCCCACAAGGAGACCCAAAGACAGAUGUUGCAUGGCUGUCGUCAGCUCGUGCCGUGAGGUGUACGGUUAAGUCCGCCAACGAGCGCAACCCUCGUCCUGUGUUACCAGCGAGUAAAGUCGGGAACUCACAGGAGACCGCCGGUGUAAGCCGGAGGAAGGUGGGGAUGAUGUCAAGUCAGCAUGGCUCUUACGCCUGGGGCUUCACACAUGCUACAAUGGGCGCAACAGAGGGACGCAAGACCGUGAGGUGGAGCUAAUCCCAAAAAUACGCCCCCAGUUCAGAUUGCAGUCUGCAACUCGACUGCAUGAAGUCGGAAUCGCUAGUAAACGCAGGUCAGCUAUACUGCGUUGAAUACGUUCCCGGGUCUUGUACACACCGCCCGU